rnacentral:rRNA from 1 species
CCUACGGGAGGCAGCAGUGAGGAAUAUUGGUCAAUGGACGAGAGUCUGAACCAGCCAAGUAGCGUGAAGGAUGACUGCCCUAUGGGUUGUAAACUUCUUUUAUAUGGGAAUAAAACGUUCCACGUGUGGGAUUUUGUAUGUACCAUAUGAAUAAGGAUCGGCUAACUCCGUGCCAGCAGCCGCGGUAAUACGGAGGAUCCGAGCGUUAUCCGGAUUUAUUGGGUUUAAAGGGAGCGUAGGUGGAUUGUUAAGUCAGUUGUGAAAGUUUGCGGCUCAACCGUAAAAUUGCAGUGGAAACUGGCAGUCUUGAGUACAGUAGAGGUGGGCGGAAUUCGUGGUGUAGCGGUGAAAUGCGUAGAUAUCACGAAGAACUCCGAUUGCGAAGGCAGUUCACUGGACUGCAACUGACACUGAGGCUCGAAAGUGUGGGUAUCAAACAGGAGUAGAUACCCUUGUAGUC